rnacentral:rRNA from 1 species
AUGAAGAUGAAACCCAAAAGAUUUUCGUUGGGGCGUAACCCUCUCAGCGACGCGCCACAUCGGAACCCGGGUGUGGUGGAAAAUGGGCAAGGGCCGGGCCGUCACCCCCCAAGUGGCGCGCCGUAUCUUGAUCCGGAUACGGUGGCAAGUGAGCGAGGAUCGGGUCGUCGCAUCCUUAGUGGCGCGCUACAUCGGCGCCCGGAUGUAGUGGAAAAUGAGCAAGGGUCUUCGCAUUUGACUCGACGAGUGCGAAGGGUAAGGAAGCUAGCCGAGCCUAGGAGGAUUCGCUUAGGUAGCUGGAACGUAGGGUCUCUGACAGGGAAGCUUCGGGAGCUAGUUGAUGCAGCAGUGAGGAGAGGUGUUGAUAUCCUUUGCGUCCAAGAAACCAAAUGGAGAGGACAGAAGGCGAAGGAGGUGGAGGAUACCGGCUUCAAGCUGUGGUACACGGGGACGGCUGCAAACAGAAAUGGCAUAGGCAUCUUGAUCAACAAGAGCCUCAAGUAUGGAGUGGUAGACGUCAGGAGACGUGGGGACCGGAUUAUCCUGGUCAAGCUGGUAGCUGAGGACUUGGUUCUCAAUGUAUCAGCGCAUAUGCCCCGCAAGUAG